rnacentral:misc_RNA from 1 species
GUUUGCAAGUUAAAUUGUCAAUAUUAAAUUAAUUUGAGUCGUUCGAUAAAUUUUGCUUAAUUUAAUUUAGCAAUCAUGUAGAUAGGCAAUACUUGUACAUGAAAAUUAUUUGUAAACAACAAUCCCUAUUUGAAUUACUUAUGCGUGUAGGUUUAGAAAUUGUAUUUUUAGGUAAGCAGUUUGAUAAAGGAAUAAUAAACAAGACUUUUGAAAAUAUUAGUAGAGGACUGGCAUUUGAAUUAAUGAGGUUAGACCAGGCAUAAAGGGUGCCUAAUACCUUUCCCUUAUAUACCCACUAUCCCGAACCUAGAUAUUGGGCUAUGGUGAUGACGGUUGUGGAACUUCUACAAGGAGUAAAUUGCCAUCCACGACCCUAUCAGAAAUGAGUGCAUCAAUCAAGUCCCUUCUAUUGUUCCUUUGGAAAUUGAUGCCUCAAUUAGAUGUCCCAUAGAAAAAAUAAUGAAUAUCUCUCGGCUAUUAUCAGGGUGAUGACUCCUGUCUAUAAAUACCUUUGUGGCAUAAAUCUUUAAUACCAUGGUAGUAUUAUGGAAAGACAGUACUUACCAGUGGACUCAAUUCUAUUAAGUUGUAUAAAUUGCAUGUCUAGAAAUUGCUUUUAAGGAUAUGGUACUUAAGUGAGAUCGAUGCAACUCCACCAUUUUUCACGGGAAUUACCUGGUGUACUUUAUGCAAUCCUAGUAGAUGAUCUUUCUCCUCACGUCACAUGACCUCAACCACAAGUAUAGGUUCCUUGUUUGUCUUUUUCUGUAAUUCAUUAUUUUUAGUUUCAGCGUUAUCCUCGGGUAGUGCGUUUUGGUAUUUGUCCAAUGUCUCGAUUUUUGUUGUGGUGUUGUUGCUUUUUAUUGUGUUUCUUUGCAAGGAGGUUAGGUUUAGUUACAAAGGAAACUCUGCCAAACAUUUAACAAAACUCUAGGAUUAAUUCUUGCUUUUGUAGUUUAAAUUAAUAAUUCUUAUCAGUAAAUUGAUAGAGAUCAGUAUGUUUGUAAAGGUGAUUGAGGCCAUCCGUCU